rnacentral:ncRNA from 1 species
CGACCCCAGGUCAGGCGGGACUACCCGCUGAGUUUAAGCAUAUAAAUAAGCGGAGGAGAAGAAACUUACAAGGAUUCCCCUAGUAACGGCGGUGGAACCGGGAACAGCCCAGCUUGAGAAUCGGGCCGGGCGGCUGUGCCGGCCGUCCGUCCGAACGAAUUGUUGUAG